ACCAACACACAGCCAGGCAUGCAGCGCAAAGUUGCCUGUUUUCCUGCCCCAUCUCCUGCUUUACUGUGCUGAGCUGGGACAGCGUGUGUGAAGCAGCCCAAGCCCACAUCCUAGCUGCACCCAGGUUGUGGGCACCAGAGCGGUGGUCUGAGGAACAGAGGUCUGAGCUGCUCCACCCUGUUAGCAGGGACAUCUGUGUAAUGACAACUCUCCCCACUGGAGCAAAGGUUGACUGGAGUCGGUGGAAGAGAGCAGAGUCUGGUACGAGACCACGCACGCCCAGAGGGUGGGAGGAGGAGUUCCCUGGUAACUAGUGCACAGAGGAUGAGCUGAAGGACUUGUAAGAUGGUUAGAUCCCUACCUCAUGCCACCCACGGAAACAGAGUCCAGGUGGAGGGAUGGCUUUACAGAGAGCAUGGGGACCUAACUGCAAAGAAAAAGAAACAUGAUAUUUUAAUAAAAAUGUGCUGGAGAAAUUUUUC
rnacentral:lncRNA from 1 species